AUCAGACACAUAUUCACGGAAAUCGACCGCGUUGCGACCGAAACCAACACGGCCGAGACAAUGACUCCAAUUCAUCCUAUAAUUGACUAAGUAAGGUCCGACCGACCAAACGCUUGAAAAUUACGGUAGGAUCGACUUGGAACCGUCAAAGUCGAAAACUCCUCCCCGAGGAAUCGAUCUCAGAAGCAGACGAUCACUUAAGCGAUGCCUACACGAGCACGCCCCGGCUCCUCGAACAAACGUAUCGGCACUCGCAUCCCACGUUGAAUACGUCCCGAUCAGAC
rnacentral:lncRNA from 1 species